rnacentral:SRP_RNA from 1 species
GGGUAAGUCUUGUACGACCAGCUCCUUCUAACUCCUCCAGGGCAGGAAUGCAGCAAAGGUAAGAAGUUGAGCGGUGCGAUGCGAGUAGCUUGCCCCAC